CGAAGGCAGCCUCCUGGGAUAACACUGACGCUCAUGCACGAAAGAGUGGGGAGCAAACAGGAUUAGAUACCCUGGUAGUCCACGCCCUAAACGAUGUCAACUAGCUGUUGGGGCCUUCGGGCCUUGGUAGCGCAGCUAACGCGUGAAGUUGACCGCCUGGGGAGUACGGUCGCAAGAUUAAAACUCAAAGGAAUUGACGGGGACCCGCACAAGCGGUGGAUGAUGUGGAUUAAUUCGAUGCAACGCGAAAAACCUUACCUACCCUUGACAUGUCUGGAAUGCCGAAGAGAUUUGGUAGUGCUCGCAAGAGAACCGGAACACAGGUGCUGCAUGGCUGUCGUCAGCUCGUGUCGUGAGAUGUUGGGUUAAGUCCCGCAACGAGCGCAACCCUUGUCAUUAGUUGCUACGAAAGG
rnacentral:rRNA from 1 species